GCGGUGGCGGCGGCGGUGGCGGCGGCGGCGGUGAGGGCGACAAGGAUGGAGUUCCUGAUGCAGCCUCUGCACGGAUCGACUUUCCUUGAAGAGGUUGGGGAGAGUUUGGUGCCGGCACCGGUGGCGGCGGACGGGGUCGAUGCGGAGAUGGUGGUGGAGCAUCCACUGGCAGCGCAGGGGACGGAUGGACAACAGGCGCCGGCUGAGGAGCAGCCGGCAGGUACAAGGGAGGCGCAGAUCUUGAUGGAGACUGAGGCAGCGCAGGAGAGGAGGGACGUGUCACCACCUAGCUCGGAGCUAUCUACAGGGAAGAUGAGCCCCACGAGCUCCUGGUUGGAAUAAGAGGUUAAGGAUUGGUGCUGCUGCACCAAGUCGACCGCCUUGCCCAAACCGUGUAAGUGCAUUUGAGAAGGCUGUUCGAAACUAUGCGGAGAAUCCAAGAGACAAUGUGGUCACACCGACUAUCGGCACGACAUUUGACUCAGUUGGAGAGGCGUAUGACUUCUACAAUUUGUAUUCAUGGGAAAAGGGAUUUGGGAUCAGAUAUGGCAAGAGUCGGCUUAAUGCGGAGAGGAUUAAAUGCAUGCAAGAAAUAGUCUGUGGCUGCUCGGUGACCACCUUGUCUAUGCAGUCGGGGCAGGGGAUCAGCGGAAGCACUGCCUCCUGCUGCGAGGAAGAAGAAGAAGACGCCAUGGUCGCCGGUCUGCUCGGUCCAACAGGAAGACAAGAUGAUAAGGUUGGAGGGAC